rnacentral:rRNA from 1 species
UACAGAGGGUGCAAGCGUUAUCCGGAAUGAUUGGGCGUAAAGCGUUUGUAGGUUGCUUGAGAAGUCUACUGUCAAAUCCCAGAGCUCAACUUUGGACAGGCAGUGGAGCACUCUUAGGCUAGAGUACGGUAGGGGUAGAGGGAAUUCCCGGUGGAGCGGUGAAAUGCACAGAGAUCGGGAAGAACACCAGUGGCGAAAGCGCUCUACUAGGCCGUGACUGGCACUGAGAGACGAUAGCUAGGGGAGCGAAUGGG